GAUGAACGCUAGCGGCAGGCUUAAUACAUGCAAGUCGAGGGGCAGCAGGACUGUAGCAAUACAGUUGCUGGCGACCGGCAAACGGGUGCGGAACACGUACGCAACCUACCCAAAACUGGGGGAUAGCCCGGGGAAACCCGGAUUAAUACCUCGUAACCUUUUUAAGUGGCAUCACUUGAUAAGUAUAGCUCCGGCGGUUUUGGAUGGGCGUGCGCCUGAUUAGGUAGUUGGUGCGGGUAACGGCCCACCAAGCCUGCGAUCAGUAACUGGUGUGAGAGCACGACCAGUCACAAGGGCACUGAGACACAGGCCCGACUCCUACGGGAGGCAGCAGUAAGGAAUAUUGGUCAAUGGACGCAAGUCUGAACCAGCCAUGCCGCGUGAAGGAUGAAGGUCCUCUGGAUUGUAAACUUCUUUGAUGGGGGACGAAACCCGGAUAUUCUUAUCCGAUUGACGGUACCUCAGGAAUAAGCACCGGCUAACUCCGUG
rnacentral:rRNA from 1 species